rnacentral:rRNA from 1 species
UACGUAGGGUGCAAGCGUUAAUCGGAAUUACUGGGCGUAAAGCGUGCGCAGGCGGUUUUGUAAGUCUGUCGUGAAAGCCCCGGGCUCAACCUGGGAAUUGCGAUGGAGACUGCGAAGGCUUGAAUCUGGCAGAGGGGGGUAGAAUUCCACGUGUAGCAGUGAAAUGCGUAGAGAUGGUGGAGGAACACCGAUGGCGAAGGCAGCCCCCUGGGUCAAGAUUGACGCUCGAUGCACGGAAAGCGUGGGGAGCAAACAGG